rnacentral:lncRNA from 1 species
AAGCACAAGAUUGUCUUGAACUUGAACUCUCAACAGUCAACCCCGUUUCUUGAAGCACACUUUAAGAGAUAUUUGAACCCAACUCCAUUCUGACUUUUAUUACCAAUAUAUCAUCGUGUUAUUGAAUUCUCAAACACAUCUUCCAUCCCAAAAGUAUUACCUUCAAAAACCAGUAAGUUUUCCGGCCUUCAAAAUACACCCCAUACACAUGGAAACCAGAUUAUGAGAUUCCUCUUUUAUACAUUACAGUCUCCCCGACCCUUAAUAAUCAUGAGAACUGUGCAACAUGAUUAUUGACUUCAUUACCGUCUUGACAUAAUUGAACAUUCAAAAAGUAGAUGUUAACAUCCUCUUCUUUACCACAACCGAUCAGACAUGUACCUGCCUCCAUACUAUUACUCCUCGCUUUAAAAGAUAAUCUUUAGUGCCUAUAGAAGGUUUCCAAGGCAAUUCUCACGUCAAUAUCUUACCAACUCGGCAGUCGGCACUAUAGAUUUUCCUGCAUCACAUCCCCCUCACAUUGAUACAAGUCACUAUCUUACCACCAAAUAGACACUUUUUCCACAUUGAAUCUCCAAAGGCCAAAGCCACUUCCUAAUAGAUAAGUUGAAAUCUCCCCAAUUUUAUAAACUUCCUAAUAAAGCUAAGUUGAAAGAUCUCUAAUUGUUUUAUACGCAGCCCCUCCCCGUCUUUUCCUACUUACAAACUUUCUCCCAACUAACCCAUUAAAAUGAUAGGUUAAUCUAACGGAGUAGUUCCUAUCUCUUUCCCCUGGCCAAGACAUCUUGUCUCCAAGAAAUGGGGAUGUUCAAGAUUUGUUGAGUUCCGUAGGCAUUAAAACAACCCUCUUUUCUACUGUUUUGGUUCAACAUUGAGUACCUAACUCACAAAGGUACCAUAAUUUAAAUUUGAAGCAUGACUCCACACCAUGAACCCAGCCUGACCCAGAAGUCAAUUGUCACACAAAUUUUCACCCUCUGCCAAUUUCCAAUGUUCUCGCAGACCCCCAUGUCAAUGACACUCCUCUACGCAUAGCUAGGUCGGAGACCAGAUGGAGCUCCCCAUAGGGUUGACAGAGGAUAGUUUCCACUCUCGCCAUCAGAGAGUUCUUUCCAUUAACUACUAAAAAUGCAUUCCAAUAUGAGCUUUGUUAAACUCACUAAAGCUACAGAAGCACAGUCCAUGAGCACAUAUAUCCGUGCAGAAUGAUCCCCUAAAUUUAUAGCAAUGAUCAUCACAAUCUAAUACAAUGAAAUUGUCACCAACAAUUGCUCCCUUGGCGGCCUGAAACAAAAUUCAGAAUGUGAGUAUUAUUAUCCAUCGCCAUUACAAAUUAGUACAUAACAUAUGUAGUCAGCCUCAUCCUAUUUCAUGAAACAACCUCAGACAUCCAUUGUUAUUAACAUUGUUGUAAAGGAAGUAAAAACUAUUUAAUACUAAGCGUAAGGGUAAACUUUUUUGGACUUUAACAGAAGAUCGAAUUACCAACACACACUUUUAUAAGCUUUAAAGACUGACACUGAAAUUUAUGGUAAGUCACUGAAAAGGGAAAAGGAACAACAUAUGGUUAGGAAGUCCUACUUAACAACACAUACUAAAAGUCAUUCUAUUUCUAGUUACGUUGAAAAAUUGCCAACAAGACCAGUGAAUUAUACAACAGCUGCUCCCUCACAUUGCAACAAGUGUAAUGAAAAAUUUUUAACCUUCACUAAACAAAUUCAUACUUGCGAUGCAGACAUUGAACCAACAUUCAUACUUGCCCAUACCAACUCUCUUUAAUGUCAGUUGAGCCUCAUUGAUUCAACAUCCAUACUUGCCCGCCUCCAAGUUAGCAAACAAUUCCAAACAUAGUCAAAACAUAAAUAUUUUACAGAUGUUUCGCCCAACACCUGAUACCUUUGUUGAACAAAGCAAAAAUGUAAAAACUAGAUGCCUCUCCAUUUCCUUCUAAAUACCAUCUCUCUGCACAUGACCUCUCCAUACUGUCAACCUCUCCAUUCCCUUUAUUAAAAAUACAUAUGUUCAUUACAACCUAAGGGAUUUAAACACCAUUGUGAUAUUGAAUACUCAAAUCCCUUAUUUUUAGCAACUAACCGGUUCCAAGAUGUACUUAUUACCCUUUCAAACACAUCUUCCAGCCCCAGAGCUUUACCUUCAAGGCUUUAAAUACCAUUAAGUUUCUGGCCUUGUAAAUGACACCAUGCACAGGCAAACAAUUAUUGAAAGUUACCAUUUUUCAUACUAUAAAAACCAAAUCAAAAGAGGCAAAAAUUAAAUUGAUAUCCCACUUACAAGCAUAGCAAUGUUGUUCUACCUGCAAAGACACUUCGACUAUCAAAUCAAAUUAGUUAUGAAUUUAAAAUGAUUUUGGUAAAAAAAAUUACAUACCUACCUGAGAUGUUCUCCUUCUCCCCCCAACAGAUCAUCAUAUCACAAUUUCAAACAAAUAAAAUAAAAUAACAAUGGAAAGGAAGAAAUAACUCACCAUUUUCCCUCACCUAUUUCCAUAUAGAAAGCAUCAUCUAUAUAUUAUGUCAAAAAAUAACAAUCGAAUCUUACCCUUUUUCCUUACCCAUUUUGUUAUUAUAUCUCAACACUCGUUGCUACAUUGAGAAGCUCCUCACUAGCAUAAUGCAGAAAUCUUGAAAAGAUGCUAACAGCCUGACGUAAGGCACCUUAAUUAAGCAUCCAACUAAGCGUCGUCCAUAUUCUUCUUCAACUCUUCUUAGACGUACUUUUCUCGUAUAGCAAGAAUCGAGCCAUUUCCAUCAGGGUCCUAUUUUCUUCCUUUUACUCACACUAUUCUGUUGCAAUGAUAUUUUGAAGCCAGAACAUAGGUAAGCAAUGUAUCCAUUGAGAACUUCAAUAACGAUAACUAGAACUGUUUCAGAUAUGAUUACCCUCUCAGCCUCUUAUAGUAUCUUCUGCUCCUUUCUGUUUUUAGUUUUCAAAAGAAAGUGAGUAACAAANN